ensembl:lncRNA
CGCCUGAUGCUAACUUUCUGACUGCCUGAUGCUAACUCUCUGACCGCCUGUAGCUAAUCUGUCGCUAGCUAUCUGACCGCCUGAAGCUAACUGACCGCCUGAUGCUAACUCUCUGACCACCUGAUGCUAGCUCUCUGACCGCCUAGAGCUAAUAUGUUGCUAACUAUCUGACCGCAUGGAGCUAACUCUCUGACCGCCUGGAGCUAAUCUGUCGCUAACUAUCUGACCGCAUGGAGCUAACUCUCUGACCGCCUGAAGCUAAUCUGUUGCUAACUCUCUGACUGUCUGGAGCCUUCCGGUCGCCCGUGGCUCUCACCGUGUGAGGUCGGGGGAUCAGAGUUCAAAGUGUGUAGCUGAGUGGUGUUCAUAAUUUGCAAACACCCUUGCAUUAGCGCCACUGUCACAACUUACUCUGAAACACAAUGGACUCAUCCUGUUUUAAAAAGUACACACUAGUGUUUACAGCCUUCGUGUUCCUCAUUCCCUUCUGACUUCACUUCAGCCUUUGUGCCUCUAACUUCCACCUGUGGCCGUUCAAUCAGUUCAAACCUCAAACCAGUUCCCCGUGUAACCAUGGUCAUUAACCCCUACCCGCCUGCAUUCUCAACAACACUCACCCAGACAUCUACACUGUCUUUAUGCUUCAUCCAUUCAUCAUUCAUCCAUUCAUCCCAGCCCUGGAUGGCCUGGCCGGCCCCACAGGAGGGCCCGGGGAGGAGGGCAGCUGGGGGGGCUCCCUGGAGCUGUUUGAGGGGCCCCAGGCUGAGGAGGAGGAGGAGGAAGAGGAAGAGGAGGAGCAGGAGGAGGAGGAGCAGGAGGAGGGCAAGAUGGACCUCUUGACCUCAUCCCUCUCCUCCUCCGUCAUGUCCAUGCUUCAUCACUCUCAUUACACCGUCACCACCACCCCCCCGCCUCCACCAGGUCAUCUCCACCCAGCCGACACGGCUGUCCCAGAUAUCUCUAAACUUUGGCUCACAGAUAAAGAUUCGGUCGAUAGCGCGUCUGGUUUUGAAGACCACGAAGACCUGCAGCACGGGCCGACCGCGCCCCCCAGCCGCGCCCACAGCGAGAGCAGCGGCGAGUUCAGCAUGAGCCUGGACAACGAGCCCUGGUCCAACGGCAGCAGCCCGCUGCAGCCGGCGCCGCCCUGCCGCUCGCCCGGCUGCUCGCCCGGCGCCCACCCGCCCCCCAACGACACCCCCAGCCCCCGCCACGCCCACCCCCACUCCCCCGCCGUCGCCGUGGCCAACGGCUCGGUGCUCCUCCACGCUGCACCCCGGGACCCCGGCGCAGGGCAGCCCCCCACGGUGCAGCUCAGAGCCCCCCGGACCUCUGGCCCAUGCGGACCACCAAGACCAUCAGGAGGGGCUCCAAGGCCAAGGCCGCCGCCCGCCGCGCCUCCGACUCAGGGGGCUCCUUCAAACUCACCAAGGUCCUCAACGGGCUGGGCUCCAGGGCCAGCCCGGCCAAGGCGGAGCCCGCCGCCGCCGCCAUCGCCCCCGCCAGCGCCGCCGCCGCCGCCGCCCACUCGGCGGCGGCCUGCUCCCCCAUCACGGUGCUCUACGUCCAGGGGAAGUCCUCCUCCGUGUCGGGCUGCCUCAACUGCUUCUCCACGCCGCUGGGGCGGGAGGGCCGUCUGCGGGGGUUCCGCUGCCCCAAGGUCCUCCCGCGGGCCAGCAGCGUCAUCUCCACCGCCGAGGGGUCGUCACGGCGACCCAGCGUCCACAGCGCCUGCAGGGCGGCGCUCCGGGCGGCGCCGGAGCCGGCGGCCGCCGAGAGGGAAGCCGCGGAACUCCCCCCGGGAACGCCGCCCGACCGGAGCCGAGAACCG